rnacentral:lncRNA from 1 species
CUGUCCACGGGGAAGUCCUGUCAUUUUAGAGAAGAACAAAGAUCUCCUCCAAGAAAACAAUAUAUCUCUUUUUCUGAUUUUAAGCAACAUGAUUAUGCUGUCCGUUGAACCACAAUUGCCUGUAUGCUGCUUCAGUCUGGCCCACAUUGACUCAGAUAAAAAACUUCACACCUUCCUCAUAAUCUACUAAAAUUUCAACCCUCAAUCCAUGGGUUACAUCACAAUCCCUGAAGAAGUAAUACAUUGGAGUGAGUGCUGGAUUUAAAGUAAAACAGUUGUGGAUUGGACCUCAGUUCAACUAUUGAUUAGCCAGGAGAUCUUAUAUAGUAUAUAGUUGCGGUAUAUUAAUUGCCUUAAUGACCUAAAUUGUUCACAUCUUUCUAGGUCCACCUAUUCUGAUUUUGCCUCUCAGCAUGUGACUUGAUUUGGUCACUGGGCAUUUUCAAAUAUAAUGCAAGCAGAGACCUGUAAAGCAUUUACAUAAUUAGAUUAGCCCUCUCUCUUCCAUCUGUACUGUUGUUCAUGAGAAUACGUCCACAUUAGCCAACUAGAGGAUGAAAUGCACAUUAAGCAGAACUGAGUUGUCCCAGUUGCCAAAUCCAAGGUCAUCAUAGGUGAGCCAGUGGUCAAUCAAUUCCCAACAAAUAAGUGAGCCUAGAAACAAUCAACGAGCCAACUUGUAGCUGAUUUGAGAUGCAAGGAUAAUCUAGUUGAGAUCACCUGGCUUCAGCCCAGAUACG